rnacentral:rRNA from 1 species
UACAGAGGUCUCAAGCGUUGUUCGGAUUCAUUGGCGUAAAGGGUGCGUAGGUGGCGCGGUAAGUCGGGUGUGAAAUCUCGGAGCUUAACUCCGAAAUUGCAUUCGAUACUGCCGUGCUUGAGGACUGGAGAGGAGACUGGAAUUCGAUGGUGUAGCAGUGAAAUGCGUAGAGAUCAUGAGGAAGACCAGUGGCGAAGGCGGGUCUCUGGACAGUUCCUGACACUGAGGCACGAAGGCCAGGGGAGCAAACGGG